AAAUUGGGCUCAAAAUCAGAUCAAAUCAAUUCAAACCCAAAUCCAAUUAACCGUCUAGUGCAUCGUGGACCGACUAGUCGGUCCACAUGAGUGAUGUCGCGGUCCACAAAAAGUUUCAUCGAUCUUUAUCGCGGUGCAUGGGCGAGACAGGCUUUUGUGCACGAUCGAACAGCUACCAGCAAUCUUUACACGAAAUCAAACGGUUAUGGUUCUACUCUCCCAUAUCUAACGAUGGUGGCCCACAACAUGAGUGUGAUCCGAUGGCUGCAGUGGUUCCCGACUGAAAGAAAGAUUCUAGGCUGAUUUUGUAUGCUGAUCAAUGGAUAGGAUUUGAUUUGGGAAAGGAUCUGAUGGUCAGAAAAGAAGUUGACUUGAUCUGGGCUGUUUUGAGUGGGUUUUUGAACUGUUGGAUGCUGAUUGAAUGGUGGGCAUGGGUAGAAGAGUUUGAACAUGACACAGAGCCCAGUUUAAGUCGAUUUCAACUCGCUUUCAAUCUUGUUUUCAGCUCUAUAAAAGGGUGACUGUGGGAAACAACAGAGGGAGU
rnacentral:lncRNA from 1 species